rnacentral:rRNA from 1 species
CCUACGGGGGGCAGCAGUGAGGAAUAUUGGUCAAUGGGCUUACGCCUGAACCAGCCAAGUCGCGUGAGGGAAGACUGCCCUAUGGGUUGUAAACCUCUUUUGUCAGGGAGCAACGCCGGCUACGUGUAGCCGGACUGAGAGUACCUGAAGAAAAAGCAUCGGCUAACUCCGUGCCAGCAGCCGCGGUAAUACGGAGGAUGCGAGCGUUAUCCGGAUUUAUUGGGUUUAAAGGGUGCGCAGGCGGAAGCGGCAAGUCAGCGGUAAAAUUGCGGGGCUCAACCUCGCCGAGCCGUUGAAACUGCUCU